rnacentral:lncRNA from 1 species
AUUUCCUGAGGCACCUUGUUCAAAUGCAGAUGAGGACUCAGCAGUUCUGGGUGGGCCCGAGAUUCUGCAUUUCUAAGAAGCUCCAGGGUGAUGCAUAUGCUGCUCAAGUAGCAACAAACCAGAGGCUUUCAUAUGGCAGCAUUUUACCUAGAGCUGACCCUGGUGUCAGAAGAAAGUUCUUCCUAGGGGAUUGCCUGAGUCUAAAAGAAGACAUCAAGCAUUAAGCUUAUACUACAAAGACCAGCCGUACAUUCCAAGUCGAAAAGGAACAGACUCUCUUAAGAGUGAUCUUCACAUCUUCUUGCCUGCUCCCUGCUGUCACUGACAGUAGAGAAGAGGAACAUUUAUCUAUGUGGAAGCAAAUGUUUCCGUAAUAAAGAAAUCUAAAGUAUAAGCACUUGGUUAAAAAUAGACUAACCGACAUUGAUUCCUUGAAAAAAAUUAUUCAGCAAUGUAUGUAACAGCUGAUCUACCAGCAUGAGUUCCUUGAGGUGACCAGGUGGUAGUUGCCACUUCAGGUUCAAUGGAAUGCUUACCUUAUCUUCUGGUGGAAGCCUUCCUUCCCUGGGACCUAUGGUGACUAAUUGAGAAGAUCCUAAGGUGUGGGGACAGGAAGCAGCAAUUCCUCAAGUGACUGAGAGCAACAGCGAAAUAGGCAACCUCUAUCCCUUGAUUCCUGGAUUCAUGUAGCCUAGCCUUUGGGGCCAGAGUGCUGGAUAUUGGCCAUUGGCCUCAAGCUGUGCUGCAUCUGGAAGACAGAACCAACAUUGCAGACUAUUCUUAUCAAGCCGGCACCUUAGUCAUCAUUUUAUUAUAGGUUAUCUCCUUCUGAUGAUGUAGCGUACAGCUGGAUUAGUGGAUCCUGCGAUCAUGUGCCCAAUAGCUCACCUUCUUUGCCAUAAAAUAGGUCCCUUAUUUUAAGCUGGUAUUAUGUAUGAUGACUCUAGAGUUAUCCUGUGUACCUGAUUAAUGACUUCUCUGCACUGGAUGACCUGAGGUGAUCACUAAUAUGAAACACA